AGAGUUUGAUCCUGGCUCAGGACAAACGCUGGCGGCGUGCCUAAUGCAUGCAAGUCGUACGGUUCUUGCGACCUUUCGGGGUGGCAAGAACAGUGGCGGAUGGCUGAGUAACGCGUGAGUAACCUACCUCCGGGUGGGGGACAACCCCGAGAAAUCGGAGCUAAUACCGCAUAAGUUCUCUGGGCCUUGGCCUGGAGAGGAAAGCCGCAAGGCACCCGGGGAUGGGCUCGCGUCCUAUCAGGUAGUUGGUGGGGUAAUGGCCUACCAAGCCGAUGACGGGUAGCUGGUCUGAGAGGACGGUCAGCCAGAGGGGGACUGAGACACGGCCCCCACUCCUACGGGAGGCAGCAGCAGGGAAUCUUGGGCAAUGGGCGCAAGCCUGACCCAGCGACGCCGCGUGGGGGACGAAGGCCUUCGGGUCGUAAACCCCUUUUCCAGGGGAAGAGAAAGGACGGUACCCUGGGAAUAAGCCUCGGCUAACUACGUGCCAGCAGCCGCGGUAAUACGUAGGAGGCGAGCGUUGUCCGGAUUUACUGGGCGUAAAGGGCGUGUAGGCGGUCGGGUAAGUCCUCUGUGAAAUCUCCCGGCUUAACUGGGAGGGGUCAGGGGAUACUACCUGGCUUGAGGGCAGCAGAGGAGGGUGGAAUUCCCGGUGUAGCGGUGACAUGCGUAGAUAUCGGGAGGAACACCAGUGGCGAAGGCGGCCCUCUGGGCUGUUCCUGACGCUGAGGCGCGAGAGUGUGGGGAGCAAACCGGAUUAGAUACCCUGGUAGUCC
rnacentral:rRNA from 1 species